AUGGCUACCUUGACAAUGUGUCGCAUACCCACUGUGGCGAAUGGAGCACCAGGAUGCAUGUGUUUCGAUGAAUAUCGCACUGGCCAAGUACGGUGUGUUAAUGGAUGUAGAGAAUUGGAUGACUACUUGAAAUAUCGGGCUUUUGUGGCCCUGCCUCCUUGUCAAAAUCCGAGGACUGGUACUAUACUUCUUCCUGGUGAACUUAACAACAAAAAGCUAGUCUCUACUGAUGCUGGUAAGAAGUUUGUCCGGUCCAUAUUUCAAGGCGUCUGGUGUGUUGUGGAUGAUGGAAAAUACUUCAGAGGCACCAUUACUGAAGCCAACAUCUAUGUCAGUAGGGAUGGCAGUGCCAAGUUUCACAAUUUGGAGAUCACAGAUGAAGGUAAUCAUGCUCAGCGAGUUGCUAGGCGAAGAAGAAAUUACACUGAAGUUUGCACUAUUGCGAAAACCAAGUUUGCUCAAGCAGCUGCUUCUCUUGGGUACACAGAUCCCAAUGACAUUCCAUCAGACAUACGUCUUCUGUUCCAUAGGGUUAUGAACGACAAGGCCCUCUACAACAUAGGGUUAUACCACAUCCAUAUUUCUCUGGUCCCUAUAGGAGUUGGUAUGCUGGCAUUCUUUAAAAUUGAUGAUCAUCUACUGACCACUAUUCCUAAGGCCACGAGAGAUACAAUUUUGGAUAACCUGUAUGCAGAGUGCCCAGAGAUUUUUGGAAAGGAUCAAAAUCAUGUCCUAAACUGGGUGAAUGAAGCUCGGAUGAAUACUCUGCUGAAUGACAUCUACUGCCACAUUUUUGCUAAUUAUGUUGCUGAUGAGGGCAACAUCUGUAAGAAGCAAGACAUUAGACCACAUGAUCUCAAACUGAAGCGAGGGACCAUUGAGUACAAGAUACUGGUUAAGAGAACUGAAGUUGCACUGUUUUUGGAUUUCUUGAGAAAUCGAACAGCACACCGUAUGCAAAGCUGGAUACUGGUGCAGAACGAGUACACCCCAGAAGACGCAGAUCUUGUUUGUCUGCUGAAAUUCCGUGAUUUUUUGGUUAAGGUGCAGUGGCUGUUGUGGCGAUUCAACAUGCUAGACAGGGUCAACUUCUCGGCUAUAUUUGUCUGA
rnacentral:rRNA from 1 species